AACGCACGCUUGACAUAUCGACGACAUGCAUGAUAAGCACUAACGUGCGAACACGUAGGCCUUUGUACCUACGAACAAAGUUCCUCAGUCGUUGGUUUGGUUGCUGAAGUUGUAUUUGGACCCAAAUCAUGCUGUGGGUGGGUUUUCGAAGUGAAUUUCGUCGAACUUGCAGAACUCUAAGUCAUCUUUCCAUGUGACGUGGACAUGUUGGAGUUCAACAACUUUUUAUGGGCAUAAGAGCAACCAUCAAGAUGAAGUACAUGUAGAUGGUAUUUAUGUUUGGUCACAUCAAGGAGGUUGUUAAGGGAGUUGUGGAGUUGCUGACAUGCAAAAAGUCUACUGCAAUCUCGUCUUGAUCCGGAGGGGAAGGUCAAAUGUCAGGAUGAAUUCUUCAGAGAUUUCUUGAUGGAGGGCCAACAGAAGAUGGAUCAUUCUGUAUUAGACCGCUAUCCAAGGUAGCAUGAUGUCAACACUACCAUCUGGUGUCAUCAAGGAUGGCAAGUUAUGAACAGGCAAUCUUCAUCCUAUCCAUCAAGUACAAUCAGUGAGAUGGGCCACCUGACAGUUGAAUAGGCUGUGACAACUCUGACUGGUGGUGUUAUUGCAGGUGUACUGACGUCAGGUCAACUCAAUGGAAUCUAGAACCCAUGGACUGCAGGUAGAUCAAUCUUUGCAUCGUUGUACAAUCACAUCUUCAUGUUAACAGAGGGAAUGAUAACGUUUAUGAACAAGAUACAAAAUAUUACUUAAAGAAGACAAAAGUAAAAUUCCCACAUGGGUGUUUCUUGGGGUAGUUCCUGUUACAAAUCAUUUUCCCAAAAAUUAUCAAAUGUGAUAGGACAACCUGGGUGACCUUUUACUUUCAGGCUCUAUAACUGUCUGUGGAAUGUGUAACCAUUUAAAUUCUUACACAAACGUUUACAUGCAAAUGAUUUGUAAGUCAGUGCUGUUCCACAGAUUGUGUCCAAACCGGGCUCCACUUCUUUUGUAUUAUUAAAAUACUAGCUAACAAACAUGUGACAUAAGUACAUGUACCUGUAUGCUCUACACGCUGACAAUGGCUCAUUUAUUUCACUCACUGGUCCUUAAUUUGAAACUUGACACGUUUCCCUUUGGCACCUGACUCUCUGAAGCAACUAUCUAAUGCUCAGGUACAUGUAGGUGCUACUCCAGAUACAUGUCAAAUGGGCCAUGUAAUUACUUGUGACCCACUCUGCAAAAAAGGGUAAUAAGUCGUGCAAUGCCAAAGUAUGUUACGGCUUGUUCUAUUUGGAGAGGGUAACAUUUCCUCAAAAGUGUGAUUUUGUGUUUUUUCUUUUAGUUUUACUACUUUCUAUUUGUAUUUCCAGAAUUUGUGACUACAAACAUGGAUACUUGAUGAAUAAAGAUAAAAAAUUGAUCUUUCAGUAGGGAAUCCUACAUGGCAUAGUUUCCAAGCGCUACAAUUCAAGAGCUUUUUCUCAAAAAGUGCUUUUAUUGAAUCUAAAAUUGUGGAUAUGCAAAUAUCUAUAUAUCCAGAAUGCAACGCAGUACAGGAGUCAUUCAUGUAUCAAAUUGUAGUUUUUGACGUACAGAAUCCAGUCAUGUCAAAAUCUUAUCUGAAUCUGGCGACUUAUUACCCAUUUUUGUAGAGCUGGUCACAAUUGUAAUUAGUUAAAUAGUCAUCAAUAAUGAAGUUUUUAAUUGGAAUCCGAGUUUUUUCAAUUUUGUUCUAAACGAUGUAAUUACAAGAAAACAAACAUGCAGCUAUUUUGGCUUAGAAAUAGUCAUUUCAACCAGCUUGUGUCUAAUUUUUUUAGAAAGGAUGAAAAAUGAAUAUUUUUUAAAUACUUGUUUUCCUGUCGGCAGAGCUUACAUUCAUCUGCAGAUUGUCUUGAACCAUGGACCAAGACUAACGUACAUAUCAGCUGAGCUUGCAACUUUGAGCAAAGACUGAGUGCGUACAUGUACAUGUAUUUGGCAGCAGAGCAUACAAACGUGAAGCCAUAAUAGCCUGGGGGUCUUGGCAGGCCAAGAGCCCUGAGAAAAUAUUUUGGAUUCUAGAAAAUCUGUGAUGCAAUCUAAGACAAUUUCUAGCCGCAUUUGUCAGUUUGUUUAAGCAAAAGAUCAUUAUUCUGAGCUGUGCAACCAAACAGAAGCUGCAUUUUGAGCUUGUAAUUUUUUUUAGCUCAAGAAGUCCCAUAUUGGAACAUGAGAGUACCCCAAAAUGCUUGAGGCCGACAAUCAAUAUCUGGGUGUUGGCAGCCCUGGUAUCAGUCCCACCCAAGCCCCACUCAUGCUUUCGAAUCUCAAAGGUCAUUAUUGAGUGGUGCCUUCACAAUAAGUGAAAGUAACUUCCAAAGAAAUUUGUUUAUUCCCCUAAAAGCAAGAAUUCUUGUAGGCUUCAAAGUUUGUUAAAAACCCCACCUGUACCAUGUGCAUAUUUAUUAAUUUAUUCUCUCACCUUUGUGUUUAAUAUCUUCUUGGCAGUGAUUGAUUUGCUGCAAGAAUAGUUAACCAGAUGAAGUAAAUGGUUUCCAAAUAAAGAGUUGGCUCUAAUGGAGGUGGCCUGGUUGUCCAGUGGCAGCAUCAACAGCCAUCAUUACUAAGUUUCAAAAACCAUGCAAAGCCAUCACAAGAUCACCACAGGAUGCUAUUCUCAGUAAUAAUCACAAACCUUUCAAGGAAUGCCCCUUCAAGUUCUCACGAAUUUCCAUGUUCAUAAUAACCAUCCACAUGUCUCACAUGAUUAAAAUAUGUUUAUUUUGCUUUCAAACACGAUUUCUGAGUCGUAAAAAGAGGAGUCAAAUUUUCGCGCAAAUUGAAUU